rnacentral:rRNA from 1 species
AGGGUUUGAUCCUGGCUCAGAGCGAACGUUGGCGAUGCGUCUUAAGCAUGCAAGUCGAGCGGGCUUAUUCGGGCAACUGGAUAAGUUAGCGGCGAACUGGUGAGUAACACGUAGGUAAUCUGCCGUAGAGUGGGGGAUAACCCAUGGAAACAUGGACUAAUACCGCAUAUACUCUUGACGCUAAAGCGUAGUAGAGGAAAGGAGCAAUCCGCUUUACGAUGAGCCUGCGGCCUAUUAGCCUGUUGGUGAGAUAAAAGCCCACCAAAGCUACGAUAGGUAGCCGACCUGAGAGGGUGACCGGCCACAUUGGGACUGAGAUACGGCCCAG